CCUACGGGGGGCAGCAGUGAGGAAUAUUGGUCAAUGGCCGGAAGGCUGAACCAGCCAAGCCGCGUGAAGGACGAAGGUGCCAAGCAUUGUAAACUUCUUUUGUCAAGGGACAAAAUCAGGCUCGAGAGCCUGACCGAGGGUACUUGAAGAAAAAGCAUCGGCUAACUCCGUGCCAGCAGCCGCGGUAAUACGGAGGAUGCGAGCGUUAUCCGGAUUUAUUGGGUUUAAAGGGAGCGUAGGCCGGUCUUUAAGCGUGCCGUGAACUUUUGUGGCUCAACCAUGAGAGUGCGGCGCGAACUGGAGAC
rnacentral:rRNA from 1 species